UUCUCCUUACAGCUAAACCUAUGCUUUUCCUCCUGAAUCCAUUCACAUUCAAAAACCCUAAGUCAUCCCCUCGCACUCUCAUAUGAGUGGUAAUGACCGAGCUUCUGAUUGCCGACUACCAGGUUUUGUACAAAAAUGCAUCCGCAUUCGUCUAGGGUUCAAAGUUUGCGUUUGAUUACAAAAUUGGAGAGCUGGCUGGAAAAAGUGAAAUCAUGAAGGCUCAUCCGUGUUGAUUACUAAGGAUAGAUAGCUCGGGGUUGUCACUUGCAUCUCUUUGGCAGCAAAAGUUGAAGAAACUCAAGUGCCACUUCGCUUAGACCUUCAAGGUUGGUGAGAUACCUUGCCAAGUAUGUGGAUUCAGGGACAGAGGAGAUGUAAUGCUGAUUUAUGGUGAUGAAAGUGUCUCCCUUGGCUGUGGAAUUGCUACUCAUAUCAGUUGCUGCAAACUGUGCUGAAUGAGAAACACUCACUUAGGCUGUUUUGUGGCAAUUACAUAGAAAUUCAAGAUAAUGGGAUUCCUUUGCUUUGUGUGCUUAUUAGCAAAUGUACUUUAAUUGAUCUUUUCUUUUUCUUGCAACUGUAGAAUAAGUAGCUGCAGCUGAUUAAAAUGUUUCUUAGAAGAAUAGUAGCUACAUGUCCUCAAUCAAAAAGGAUGAGAAUUUGAUGUAGUGGGUUGACUUAUUCAAAUAACACAGGGCUGAGCCAGUUGUAUGAGAAAAACAAAUCAAAAGGAAAGGCAUUUGCAAAGAAGUACAAACUUCCAUUUACAUUGUUGAGUGAUGAGGGUAACAAGGUGAGGAAAGAAGUACAAACUCCUCUUGAUUUUUUAAUUUUUGUUUAUUUUUAUUUGAUAGUAACAAGUUGUUGCUUCAGAUUUAAUGACUAUAGACUAUAGAUAUUUGUAUACUCUAUCUGUUUGUUGAUGUUACACAAACAGUUAACAGUUGAAUCUAUCCUAAUUCUUAAGUCAUGCAUCAUGAUUAUUACCAACAAGGCAUUGGUGAGCUACUGCCAAAGUUCCUAUAUUAAGCACUAUAUUCAAUUCAUGUGCGGGAGGACUCAUGUUCAAGCUACCUCAAAGCAAUCUACAGUAUGUGACAUCCAUAACAUUCCUCCUUACAACCUAUUCCAAGUAUAUGGCAGCUAAAAAGUACACAUUUAACUGCGGCAAUGUUUUAGGCACUCCAAACACCUUAAGAAGCGUAACGAAAAUACAGGUAAGCCUCAUUAUUUUGUCCUUUCGGAGUUCAAUUUACCAUGUUUUUGUCUUCAUUUGGUUCUCAGGAAACAGUAUGUCUUGAAAAGUGAGGUUCCAGGCUAAUGUCUAAGAUCUAGGUGCAAUCCAUUGACCAAAGUAAAUAGGUGAUGAACUUUGAUCUUAUUAGUACUUCAGUUUUGCAGUUUUGGCAAGUUACCCACAAAUUAAAAAGGUGAGAGUAGCCCAGCAAGAGGAGUUUAAAUUUUGAUUGUUUAACAAGCGAAAAUAAGCUGUGAGGAAAUUGGUUUCAUUGAUUUAGUUGUCCAGUGGACUGCAUUCUCAUAAUUUCAAAUGAAGUAAUUUACAAAUUUCUCAAUGUGCAUAUUUGAUUAAUGAUUUUGGUUCUUGAUUGAGUAAGUUUUUGUUUUUUAUAACUGAACUUAAAGAACAAUUAUAUGAAGAUAAAACUGAGUGCAAAGAAGCGUGAGAAAAGGAUGCAGUUGAUCUAAAAGCUAAUGUUAAUAAUGCGAUGUCUGGGGCUUGAAGAGAAAGAAAAGAGAGAGCCUGAUAAAGGAAAUAAGAGAUUCUUUUCCAUGACAUAACUUUCUUAGAAUGAAAAUAUGCUCUGCAAGAAUUGAUAAACAUAUUAAUAAUAUAAUCUGAUUAAUAGCACUUUGGUUGUUUGCUUUUCAUUCUCUUUUUUAAUGAAAAUAUAAUCUGAAUAAUGGAAAUAUGCUCUGCAAGAAUUGAAAGAGUAAUCUUUGGAGCUGCCAUAAUCUAAUAGCACUUUGGUUGUUUGAUUUUCAUUCUCUUUUUUUUCUUCUGCAAGCAAGUGACAUUUAUAACUCACAUGUUUUCAUCAUCCAUCCCACUUGCUCUGUCUAAGUUACACUUUUGUCUCAUGACAUGAGUGAAAAUAAGGAUAGUGUCUUACUUAUAGAUGGUCGAAUAUUGCAGUUUUUUGUUCCCUGGUGUGAAUCUUUCUUUCUCUUCAUAUUGAUCUCAUUAUGAUGUUAUGUGGUUUGUGUUUAACAAUUAAUAUUGAUUUACUAAUUAGCAUUCAAUUAACGUUGUGGUGCAGAUCUUUUCUUUCUAAGAGUUCCAUAUCUAAGUUUGAUUGGUGGUUCAUGGUGGGGAUCUUGAUGGUUAAAGGAAAUGUGUGUUCUUUUUUUUCUUCUACCCCCUUACUUACAUGUCUUCUUUCUUGAUUUUGAUUGUUUGGUUACAGGACUUCUCAUUCUCAAGAAAUCCAGCAGGGAUCAAUCAAGGACUACAUUUGAACCAAGUUACAACAAGAAAGCUGAUUUUGAAAAUAUCCUCUGCAAGAUGGAUACACAUAGGAGACUUUACAAGACUACAAAAAAGAGGGGAAGUCUUUUCAAAACUCUUCACAAGAACAAUCAGACAUUAGACAUAAGAAGGAUGUCUAAGGAUGGCUCUUGAUGUUGUGUGUUUCCUCUUUCUUAUUUACCGGCAAUCAAAUGAAUUGGUGUCUGAAUUUUGAGAGAUUGUUUCGAUUUCGUUAUAUUUCCUCACUACUACAUUUUGGUGGAGAGAGAUGGAUCGUAUUGAUUGAUGAUGAAAAGAGAUAAUUCCAAAAGAGAACAACGUCAUGUCCAAAGCAGUAUCAUAAUCUUGAAGGUGCGGAAGGGGAGGUCAAGCAGCACGUUGCGUUAUGGAAGGACCUUGCUACAUUCCUUAACUCCACGGACCUGAAGGGUUGUUACAAUAGCAUACAAAGAACCAGUAUUUUGAAGUCAUAAAUCAUGACGAGACAAUGUGUGUUUCAAAGGAAGAGGUUCUUAUUUGAAGAGAAUUCAAGCAAAAACUAUAGGAAGAAAAUAGUUUUAGAAAAUGGUUGGAGUUCAGCGCAUGGGAGAAUUUAUUUGUACUGUUAACUAUAUUAGUUAAUUUUAAUUUGAUUAUGUUGAAGUGUAUAUUUUUAUUGACUCAAUUGUAAAUUACUUAAGAAAUUGUUGCUUACUUAAAAUUGUUAUUUGGAAUA